CAAAACAAAAGUGUUCCAAAAUCACGUGAUUUCAAAUUCAUUGUUUUCAAUUGUGUUUUGUGUGUGUGUGUGUGCGAAAAUUUUGCAUUUAAAUUGAUCUCAUUUAAUCGAAUACUAUGUACAAGUGUCAACAAGAUUGGCACAUGAUAAUGAUGGGCACGCAAAACGACGAUAAUAAUAGCCACCACCAUCACCACCACCACCACCAGAACCAGCAAAUACAGCAUUUUUCUUCAAUCAUCCAAUCAUAUUCUAUUGAACAUUGAAUAACGAUAACGAACAACAACUAUGACGACAACUACAAAAUUUUACAAUAAAGAAAUCUUUACCACACGAUUUCUGGCACUUUUAAAACCUGAUCAAGAAACAAACCAUUGGUUUUUACAUUGACCACAAUCAUCACAUUAUUAUAGAAGACAGAUAGAAAAACAUUUGCAUUUCACCUUGCUGUCUGUGUUUUGGAUGGUUCAAUGAUUCGAAUUUUUUUUCAUUUCAAAGUACUGCCAUCUUUUAACAGACCAAAGAACUAUA